CCACGUGCACCUGAUGAGAACUCUGCUGCUGAGACCGUGUGAUUGCUCAAAGACUCAAAGUAAACGCCCUGAUGCACGCACA
ensembl:snoRNA predicted gene, 23008